AAAAGAAUUCGUGGCUGGAGCCAGCUGGCCUGAAAUUUACAUGGAACCAAAGAUGGAAAACUGGAUUCACCGUGUUGUCUUGUACUCUGUAUUUGGAGUUUAUUGCUGCAUAGGAGCAUGAGUUUUACCAAGACCAUGCCCAGCCUCCGUCAGCAGAGGGAAUGGUCUGGUUCCUGGGGAAGGCGACACAGGCAG